UACGGGGGGAGCAAGCGUUGUUCGGAUUUACUGGGCGUAAAGGGCGCGUAGGCGGCGCAACAAGUCACUUGUGAAAUCUCCGGGCUUAACCCGGAGCGGUCAAGUGAUACUGUCGUGCUAGAGUGCGGAAGGGGCUACUGGAAUUCUCGGUGUAGCGGUGAAAUGCGUAGAGAUUUGGAGGAACACCAGUGGCGAAGGCGACUUUCUGGUCUGUAACUGACACUGAGGCGCGAAAGCGUGGGGAGCAAACAGG
rnacentral:rRNA from 1 species